GAUGAACGCUGGCGGCGUGCCUAAUACAUGCAAGUCGAGCGAACAGACGAGGAGCUUGCUCCUCUGACGUUAGCGGCGGACGGGUGAGUAACACGUGGAUAACCUACCUAUAAGACUGGGAUAACUUCGGGAAACCGGAGCUAAUACCGGAUAAUAUAUUGAACCGCAUGGUUCAAUAGUGAAAGACGGUUUUGCUGUCACUUAUAGAUGGAUCCGCGCCGCAUUAGCUAGUUGGUAAGGUAACGGCUUACCAAGGCGACGAUGCGUAGCCGAACUGAGAGGGUGAUCGGCCACACUGGAACUGAGACACGGUCCAGACUCCUACGGGAGGCAGCAGUAGGGAAUCUUCCGCAAAGGGCGAAAGCCUGACGGAGCAACGCCGCGUGAGUGAUGAAGGUCUUCGGAUCGUAAAACUCUGUUAUUAGGGAAGAACAAAUGUGUAAGUAACUAUGCACGUCUUGACGGUACCUAAUCAGAAAGCCACGGCUAACUACGUG
rnacentral:rRNA from 1 species